GAACAGAAGCGACACAAAACAGUGUGAAUCGCAGAAGUUAUUAUUUUUCAGCAAUCGUGCAACAUUUAUAGUUAAAUAAUUAGCUAAGAGUCGAUGUCAAUUAAUUUCAAUAUGUUUAUAGAUAGGUAUAUAAAUGUACUUAUUGACGGUCAGAUAGAUGUAAAUAGUAACAUUAGCAUGUAACGUUAUGCUAUUUGAUUCUUUGUUUGAAGAGCUCAGACUUCUGUGUGUGUGCUAUUUUGAUUGUUUCUCUUGCAGAUUGAAAACGCCUGCACUCGUCUAUGAAGAGGCCAAAGACAUGCAUGUUAUUGCCACAAUCCCUGUCUACUCUCCAGUGAGGAUUGAAUGCUUAAAUCAUACUGUUUGACAUCUACUAUAAGUCAGAAGUCCUGAAUCCACUCUGAAGUACUUUAUUGCUGGUCAUUGAGUUCUAACAAUAAGAUCUGAAUACUAAUCCUGUAACAUUUCAGUUUGUGUCAGCUGGACUCUCCUGCGAUCAGAGAGCGCUGGUGUCUAUGUCUUAUUGUUCUGGACAGACACAGUGACCAGAUCAAACUCGUCAUGGAUCUGCUUCUUCCAGAUGUAGGUCUCGUGUUUUAGCUGUACACUCCAUGAUCUCAGAUUCACAUUGUUUUAAAUGUCAAAUAGUGUUAUCCAUAAAGUGAGACCAUUGCUCUUAAAAGAAAGGUUUUUGUGGUUCUAGAAGAGACACUUUUCAGUUUGUUGUAAAAAGCUAAACCUGUGAAAUGGUUCUUGUCUGCUUGGGGUGUGUGAUCGAUCUCAAUUCUUUCUCUGGUGGUCUGUUAUCUGUGUCCUGGCUUUUGUGGAAAAUCUGUCCAUCCUAAAGACUGAGGAGACGUUUCUGUGAGGACCUGCCAUUUACAUAAAGUACUGUAAGGAUGACAUCCUGCUAUUAUUCACAAAUAACCAUUUCUUUCUACAACUAUCCCACUUUAGUUGUUUUAUCAGUGAGCGGGAGCAUUUUGACACGAGGACAGAACAACAAUUAAGAGAGUCAUCAACGGGAGUCAUCCUAGUUCAUGUUUUUAAUAAUGGUGCUAAUAAAUAAUGUUGUACACAAAAAAGUUGUCUCUUUCUUCUCAGAUGCUAAAUGGCCCUUGGGGUUUUAGAAAAGGGUGAAUUGUGUUUGUCUUUAUAAAAUACUUUAUAGGACACUGUUCUGUUGCUGUAUGACAUCCAGUAGUGAAUACUAAAGAUAAAUCAAUAUUAAAUAUUUCAUUGAUGUUUCAUAUGAUUACACUGUAUGUCUGAUGGGCUAAAUAUGGUUAAUAUCUGAAUGUAACUUUAGAUAUAAAUUCACAACAACAUAUAUAUCACUCCAUCUGCUGUAUAUAUGAGAACCUACAGUGAAUAUAAUAUUGCUACAGUAGAUCAUUUAUCAUUACAUUGUACAUUUGAUCCAAAUAUGUGUAUUAUUAUUU